rnacentral:rRNA from 1 species
UACAGAGGUCCCAAGCGUUGUUCGGAUUCACUGGGCGUAAAGGGUGCGUAGGUGGUGAGGUAAGUCGGAUGUGAAAGCUCGGAGCUCAACUCCGAAAUGGCAUUGGAAACUACCUUGCUCGAGGGUUGAAGGGGGGACUGGAAUGCUUGGUGUAGCAGUGAAAUGCGUAGAUAUCAAGCGGAACACCAGUGGCGAAGGCGAGUCCCUGGACAACUCCUGACACUGAGGCACGAAAGCUAGGGGAGCAAACAGG